GGAUGUAAGGUCAAAGUUCAACCUUCACAUCAACAUGGAGGAACGCGUGGGUCGUUUUCUCUACGCGGGAAGUUUUGUUACAGCCUCUCUAAAUGAACGCGGUUUGCAAGGUUGCUCAGAUCGAUCAAACCGCCGUCAAAAAAAUCGCUUCCUACGGAGAAGAGCGUCGGACAGCCGGAAUGUUCGCGUGUGCAGAGGCGACCUCGUCUAAGGAUUAAAAACAAACUAAGGACACAGAAUUGCCUCCACACUCGUGGCCAUUGAAUCUGAACUCGUCUGGGAGUUGGACUUCAACAACUUGAUUGAUGAUUUCUCUUCAGAGAAGGCCUGAAGAAAGUCGUGAUUUAGAGCCUCUAAACUGCCCCUAAAUGUGAGUGAUGAUCUGCAAGGAGUAAAGGGCCUCUGGCUGUUCCAAGGUCAAGGUCAAGGCUGAUAACUAAAGGUGAUCACAGCUCUGGAUCAUCUCUGCUCUGGUACAGCAGGUACAGAAAAGCAUCUCUUAAAUUAUUUUCUGUGGCUUUUUGGUGAUUUUUUAAAAACUUUUUGGAUUGUACAUUUAAUUUAGCUUGUUUUUGUUUUUUUGGGUCUCCUUCUCCCCUUCUUUUUAAAGAACAUUGGUAGUUGUGUUUAGAAAAGUUGGAUUUAGAUUUUGCUUGCUAUCUCUGUACUGUACUCUCGAAAACGCGUUACCUUUAAUUGGGCUUUCCAUUUACGUUUGUGAAAUUGCUCAGCGAGGUGAGGAUAUAGUGAAACUGAAGGAAAACCUAUAUGUUGGAUUUCAAGGCCUCAGGCAAAAACCAUCCUAUAAAUUAUACAGAUAGAUUUCUGUUUUAUAUUGUCCCAGCGUCUAAGGUCAGAAUUAGUUUUUUUUUUUUUUUUUUUUUUAACUUUCAUUGCAUGUGGCAGUCAUUUACAGGAGAUACUGUAGAAAAAUACUUUCCUACCGAGUCACUACAGAAAGGCAGAUAAGGAGGAGGGUUUCGGUUCGGAGCAGCAGCAGUUAUGUUCCUAGUUUGGAUAUAUAGAUUGUGUUGGACUGUUACGAUAGGUACAUGCAUCAAAUAUUCAUAACCUUGUGCCUGAUGCACACAGUAUAUAAGCAAGGUUUGGUCUGAUUCCUGCUCAGUGCAGUCAGAGCACAGCAUAUAUCAACCUGUGGGUCAGAUCCAACACAUGAAUACAAAACAGCUGAAUGACUCACUAUGUGCAUUCAGUUACGCUCAAGGUUGAAAUUUGUUAUUUCUUAGACUGUUAAACCUUAUUGUUGUGUUUUAAUUAAAUACAGCUACUUCAGACAAUCAGUGCCAUAGUGUAUCACACUCUGCUGAGGUCGUAAUUAAAAAAAUUAGUCACGAUCUUGCACAUCUAAUCAAAUUUCAGAAGGACAAAUUGCAGAUGUCAGUCCAAAAUGGUUUAUUUUGUAAAGGGGGCAGUUGGAGGAGAUGAGAAAACAUGGUGCGCUACUAAAUGAUAUAUUCAAAUGUACAUGACAUUCAAAGGGUAUUACAGUUAUCACUCAAAUUUCCACACAUGAAGUUAAGUCUUCAUUCCAACAUGUUUUCCAAGUGUAAAUGGAUAAAAAGUUUGUAUAUUUUCAAAAUAAAAAAAUGUAUCAACACAAUAAACCCUUGGGAUGUUGAAAAGAAAAAAAAA